GGUGAACGCUGGCGGCGUGCCUAAGACAUGCAAGUCGAGCGGGGCAGGUUUAUACCUGUUCAGCGGCGGACGGGUGAGUAACGCGUGGGUGACCUACCCGGAAGAGGCGGACAACCUGGGGAAACCCAGGCUAAUCCGCCAUGUGGUCCUGUCCUGUGGGGCAGGACUAAAGGCGCGACCCGCUUCCGGAUGGGCCCGCGUCCCAUCAGCUAGUUGGUGGGGUAAAGGCCCACCAAGGCGACGACGGGUAGCCGGUCUGAGAGGAUGGCCGGCCACAGGGGCACUGGGACACGGGCGCCACUCCUACGGGAGGCAGCAGGUAGGAAGCUUCCGCAAUGGACGGAAGUCUGACGGAGCGACGCCGCUUGGAGGGGGAAGCCCUUCGGGGUGUAAACUCCUGAACUGGGGACGAAAGCCCCGUGUAGGGGGAUGACGGAACCCAGGUAAUAGCGCCGGCCAACUCCGUG
rnacentral:rRNA from 1 species